rnacentral:piRNA from 1 species
UGUGUGGUUCCGAGUUCUGCCUCUC